UCUCCCUGCAGACACACUGUCAGUGCCGCGCUGGUCCCCACAGAUCCCUCGCAGAGACCUCGGCAACUCCAUCAAGCACAGGUUUUCCACCAAGUACUGGAUGUCUCAGACGUGCACAGUCUGUGGGAAAGGAAUGCUUUUUGGCCUCAAGUGUAAAAAUUGCAAGUUAAAGUGCCACAACAAAUGCACCAAAGAAGCCCCGCCCUGUCACCUUCUGAUCAUCCACCGAGGAGGUAAGUAUUUAACGCUUCCUGCCCUGGGGUAGUAGUGGGGGUUCCUGCAGGCCAUCUGAGAUAGCUGUCCAUCCAGGUAAAUUUUGGAAAACCCCUUGAUCCUUAACCAUUGCCUGCCUCAUUUCUUUCCCUCUGACCCCCUCCUCCUGACAUCUGUCUCCUUAAUCCACUGCAGUGCCCGUUCUCCCUAUUCUUUGUCCUCACGCUGGUCUCCUUGAUAGUUUAGCCCCCAGAUUCAUCUCCCUUCCCUAAUUCUUUUCUCUCAUUCUUGUCCUCUCUCCCAAUUUUUCACUCUCCUCUCUUUCC